GAUGAACGCUGGCGGCGUGCCUAAUACAUGCAAGUCGAACGAACAGAUGCUGCGCUUGCUGGUCUGACGUUAGCGGCAGACGGGUGUGUAACACGUGGAUACCCUCCCUGUAAUUCUGGGAUAACUUCGGAAAACGGGAGAUAAUACCGGAUAAUCUAUUGCACCGCAUGGGUGAGUGGUGAAAGUCGGUUGUGGUGUCACGAAUAGCUGGAUACCCGCCUGUUUGUGGGGUUGUGGCUUACCAAGGUUUUGACGGGUACCCGGCCUGAGAGGGUGACCGGCCACAUUGGGACUGAGGUACGGCACAGACUCCUACGGGAGGCAGCAGUGGGAAAUAUUGCACAAUGGACGGAAGCCUGAUGCAGCAACGCCGCGUGCGGGAUAACGGCCUUCGGGUUGUAAACCGCUUUCGCCUGUGACGAAGCGUGAGUGACGGUAAUGGGUAAAGAAGCACAGGCUAACUACGUG
rnacentral:rRNA from 1 species